rnacentral:tRNA from 1 species
AGAAAAGCAGGAAUCGAACCUGCAACUGAGAUAUCAAAACUCUCUGUAAUCCCCUUUUACCAUUU